UUUCCUGUAUUUUUCAUAGUUUUAUGUGUAAUAGAAUCAAAUGCAUGUCUGGUCCCAUUAGCUGUUAGAUGUUAUGUUCUAUUAUGAUACCUUUUUAUGCAUGGAAAUAUAAUUUGAUUUGAAGGUUGGAGUGUAGGUUUAGGAGCCAUAUGAUGCAGCUUUUUAGGUAAAAGAUCUUCCUUUCAAACCCAAAAUAAGUUUUAUUGCAGAUGUCAAUAUUUAGUGUGAACCCCAAAAUGAGUCUUUAUUGCACGUCCAUAGAAGGGUAUGGGACAUUUUCGAGCCUAGAAAAAGCUACAGUUUGCUGCUUUUUUAACCCAUGAAAGAAAAUCUACAGUUACAACAUAGGGUGCCUUUAGUAGGGUUUUCAUUUCUGCUUUAUCCAACCAAAUCUGAUUGUACUUUGUCCUCUUGAUAAUUGUUAUGGCCAUAGUUUCUUGUUAAAAUUUGAUAAAUAAAAAAAACCACUUGUUAUUGUUGGUUGGUGGCACAUCAUAUUAUAUGCUACCAUAGCUGUUCAGUGAAAUCCUCCAUGCCACGUUGCCAGUAUGAAGUUGGAGGAGAUAUAAUAAAAAAUUAAAGAAAAUGUAUAACCUUAAUAGAGAUGCGUGCAUCUGAAAUCCUUAAUAUAUGGGUAAGUUGCAAGGAAGUCAUAUUAUAUGCUACCAUAGCUGUUCAGUGAAAUCCUUCAUGCCACGUUGCCAGUAUGAAGUUGGAGGAGAUAUAAUAAAAAAUUAAAAAAAAAUGUAUAACCUUAAUAGAGAUGCGUGCAUCUGAAAUCCUUAAUAUAUGGGUAAGUUGCAAGGAAGUCAUAUUUCGUGCAAAAUUCCACGUGACGUGUUGUUCCUUUGAUAAAUUGAUUGUGGUUUUGGGAAUAUAAGUUUGGGAACCACAAUAACAAGGUGAAGAUUGAUGCCUGAGUUCUUCAAUGCUUAACCAGAUGAUACAGAUCAUUCUGCAGAAAAUUUUGUCUGUGCUAGUGUUCCUAAGAUUCCUAACAUCACAU
rnacentral:lncRNA from 1 species